GCGGUGGGGCACCCUUCAGCUGAGACUUUUGCUGAAGUCUCCUCUCGGGGCUGGCCUCCCUGAUCCUCCACGCGACCAGAUGGGGAUCUCUUCGGUUGUCUCUGGAAACGCCCAGACAGCAGCUCAUCUCAGAGGAUGUUCAAGAGCAGCUGUGGGCUAUAACCAAGAGGAGUUAUCUUUGCAUUUUUCAUUGUUGCUUGGUGAGUGCCUAAUUUUUUCUCUGAUACUCCCUCAUGUAAUGAUUACAAUUAAAAUGUGAUAUUUUUAUUCCACUCUGUGUAUUAAUUUUAAAACCACUAGUUUAAAAGUUAUAACAAUGGACAUGCUAUUUUCUUGUAAUUAAUUCAUAAUAAUAGAAUAUAUUUACUCUGAUGAGACAAAGACAGAACACACUAAUAAAUAUGCAAUCUGACUUUUAUGGUUUUAGAAGUAGAAACAAUGUAGACAUCAGUUUUGAUGGAUGAUUGAAGAAAUUGGCACUAUACAAUUCAUUUGGUUAAGCUAAAAGCCUCCUCAAGUUCUCUUUAUGUUUUUGUAAUACCCUUAAACAGUAUUUUUAUAAGCAUGACAUACAAGUGUAGGGGGAUGAAAAGGAGCACAUAAAUAAAUGUGGGCUAUCCCUCACUUUAAAUAAAAGUCAUCCUGUGUUUAUAGUUAUGUGGAAAUCUUUAUUCGUAUUUUUAAUCAAGAAGAACAGUGAUUUCAUUUUCAAUUGGUCUGUAACCUCCUCUAUAAUAUAACUUAUAUUAUUCAUCUUGAAUCACAGUUGCAGGGUUUAAAUACAUCUUUAAGCAACACAGCUAAUUUAGCCAUUAUGAUAGAUGCUUAUUCUUUUUGUUGUUGUUGUUUAUUUAUUUAUUUUGAGAGAGAGAGAGAGAGAGAGAGAGAGAGAGAGAGAGAGAGAGAGAAUCCCAAGCAGACUCUGCAUUGUCAGUGUGGAUCUCACAAACCAUGAGAUCAUAACCUGAGCCGAAGUUGGACCAAAGUUGGACACUUAACCCACUGGGCCACCCAGGCACCCCUAGAUGCUUAUUCUUAUAAUGAGACUAGUGUCUGUAAUAGGUAUGGGCUUUAGACUGGAACUCUAUGUGGGCUUUAAGCAGGGACUGUAUGGGUCCUUGGGAUGUCUCUCUUGGGAAGCAUGUAUGUGAGUAAAUUUUAUCCAUUUAAGGAAAAUGGAGUAAGUGAUUAGUAACUACAAAACUAGACUAUAGCAGAAGCUAUGUUAUUUUUUCACUGAACUAUCUUUGCUUGCCCUAUAUAUGAAUGAAAGACUAAAGAAGAAAUGAUUCUGCACUCUCCAAUAUAGUAGCCAAAUGCCACAUGUAUCUGUUGAGAAGUUGAAAAAUAGAUACUGCACUGGAGGAACUUAAUUUUUAACUUAAGUUAAUUUAAACUUAAAGAUCUACAUAGGUUUUAUAGCUACGGUAGCAGAGAGCAUAGCCCUAAAAGUUAGUGGUGUCAGAAUUUAGAAGAAACUAAGAUCCUGAAACAUCACAUAUAAUGUUUUCCAUUGAACACUAUAGUCAGACUGUGUUAUAAGAAGUAAAUUUGUAGUUUGUUAACACAAUGAAAUGUUUUGAUUAUGUCUUAUAAGAACCAGAGUUAAUCAGCAUGACUAAUAUGACAGCAAUAUCCUAUUUAUAUUUAUAAUCUCAGCAUUUAGUGUAGUACUGCCACAUGUUUUGGUGAAUACGUUUUUGAUAUUCAUAUACUCUGUAGAUAUUGAAAGAACUUUUGUUCAAGUAUAUGACCUAUAAAGCAAUUUUAAUUGUUAUCAUAUAUAAAUACAUGCAUAUAUGUAUGUAUAUGCAUGUAUUUAUAUAUGUGUAUAUGUAUAUAUGGAUUUCAAAGAAUGUUUAAAUAAUAUUAAUGUAAAAAUGACAUGGCCUAAUUUUCUUUUAAUUCUGAAUGUAGGGCUUUAGUGGUGAAGCUGAAGUGGUUAAGACAUUUUUAUGAUUCUUCAGGAAGGCAACUCAGUGUAAAAGAACUAAACCAAACCUUUCCCUUGCCAUUUCAAAUGUUCUUUCCAUGACGUUUGUCAGUGACUCAUAUACCCGCCUUGUGAUAUUACAAGACUUACGUGUUUUUAUUAAUGAAAUUUAAGGCAUGUGACAAUUUUCUGAGAUAAUUGGAGCCCAUGAAGAUGUGACUUUAUUUGUCGAAAGAGUGUCUCUCAGUAGCACAUUGGGCUUUUCCUAUGAAUGAUGUAUUCCGGGACACAAUGAAACUUAGCUAAGCAGACACUUUUGUCUUGAUAUUAGGUAUCGUAUGCAUGUGAUGGAUGUGGAGACAGUGGAGAGAGUGAGGGGUUUUCCCAAGGACUUUUUCACAUUAACACUCCUAUAAUACCUUCCCUCUGACAAUAUUCUCUUAGAGGCAGUGCAUUUCUACUAUUUAAUGGUUACUUUUACUUGGUAGUUAGAACUCAGAGUAUACUGACUGUCAUGAUCCAGAAUAUUGCAUUGUUCUGGGAAAAAAAAUCUGUAGCACAUAUAUAGAAAGAGAUUUAGAAGUAUAUAGAAAGGCUUCUAUAAUUGCUUACUAUAAUUUUUUUCCAGAGAAAUUCUGACCCUAUUUUGGAGGUUUUUCAUAGGACAUAACCUGAUAAAUAAUUUUUGAAGCAGAAAUGUAAUGCCUAAUGCCUAUAAUGUCCAGUGCUUAAUUCAUUCCUGUCCAUAGAAUUUGUCUUCUAUUGAAUAGGUCAGUGCCAUAGAACUGGUUUUCUUUGAGUCACUAACAUAGUCCCAUAAAGAAAUAAAUAAUAAGGCUUUGUUUUUAUAUACAUUUUUAAGAUUUUUAAACAUUGUUUCUUACCUAUUUUAUUUUUGUACAAUGUUGCUUUUGAUUCUGAAGACAUAUAAAUUUCCAUUUCUAUACAUUUUCUCUUCAUUUGUAAAUUAGAUAAAUAUAAAGACAUGCAUUUUUAUCCAUAAACUGAACAAGUAGACUAGGGUGCAUAGCCAAAGAUGGUGCCCAAUAAAGACAGGUAUGUAUAGGAACUGGAUUAUAUGCAGAUACCUGGUAGGUAGAAAGAGGGGUCACAUUUCGCUCAAUCAGGAGGAAAAGGGAAGAUAGGCACCAAAGCACGUAGCUGGUAGAACUGGUGGGGGGUUUACGAGGGAGCCCCACAAUCUGAUCUCCAUGUGCAAACUGCUCUGCUAGAGGUGGCGAAACAUGCAGAACGAAAUAGUAUGUAAUGUUGGCCUAAAUCACUCAAAUAUUUUAGGGAAGUGUAAACUUAUUCAGGUAGCAAUACCCAUGCUUAGCGUGGUAGAAGAGCCCUGAAGCAGUCAUUCAGACUGCAGCUGUCCAGGGUUUACAAACUAUACCGUCUCCUCCAGUGCCAAGGAGAAGACGUGCUUUUCUUGGGUUGAGUGCUUAUGUCCAUACUGAAGCACAGUUAAUGUCCUGUCAAUGUAUUGCCAGCUCAAAUUGCACAUUUCUAUACUUUGAAUGGAUCAGAGCUGAAGAAUUUGCCUCCUUUCAUGCCAGACUGUAUUAUGGUCAAGAGACUUUUCCUUAGAAAAUAAGUAAGGCUUAAGCCUGUUAUCACUGAGUUUAUUGAAAGGAAUAAGCCAUAGCUUCAGGCAAAAGUCUAUACAAAUCAGUUUGAUAAACCUAAUUACCACUUUUUAUAACACCUUUGGGCCACUUUGAAAUAGAGUUGAAGCACCAUACAGUGAAUAGCUGACUUUCCCAAAAGGCACUGAGACAUUGAUUUAAUUGAACUUUUUCCAAACAAAGAGCAGUUUCAAUUUUUUCUCACUCUCCUAAAAUAUAAAGAAAAGCAGAACUCAGGAAUGUCCUGGCAGUCCUUCAUUUCAGCUCUUCAAGCCUCAAAUUCCUCAUAUGAGCAUCUUCAGUGUCAUUAGCUAGGUUUAGGAGUUUUACACUACACUGUCUUUUUAGCUUAACCUUAUUAAAUUGCCAGGUAUGUUAGUACAGAGUGCCUGAUUUGCAAGGGUAUUCCAACUGUUCUCACACUAAUGCAUUGCUGCAUAAGCUAUUGUCUGGUUUAUUUUACCAACUGUUCUAAUCCCUAAGUGUGCUAUUACCACUUACUGCCUACCCUUCAUUAUCUACAUUAAUUUCAGAUUAGUUUUGGGAAAACUAAACUGUAUUUAUACUACUCUUUAUACUUUUGCGUGUAAUUUUGACACACCAAAACUUCUUAGCACUGUUUUUAUAGCUUAUCGCAGUAUAAUUCCAGUUUUCAAAUGUGUGUCCAUCCCACUGUUGUUCAGUAUUGUCAGUCUUUAACCAAACCUAACCAUUCAUUUAUUUUUACUCAGAAUUUGUUGGUAUUUAUUUUAAUAUUGAAAUUUAGCUUUAUUAAAGUAUAAUAUCCACAUGUAAAACUUUAUAAAUCAUAAUAUGUAGCUCAAUAAAUUUUCAUAAUCUGAAUAUUUAUUUAAUCAGAUUAAACUGUUUAAUCACCAGAUCAAGAAACUGACCAUUAGGAGCACUUCAGAAGCCUCCCUUAUGGUACUUUCAUUCAUGAACCAGGAUCCAAACUGCUAAAAGCCUAUUUUGAAUUUUGUACUGAAAUCAUAUUGAAUAUACUUUUGUAUAUCUAUUUUCCCUAAACAUUAUGUUUAUGGGAUUCAUUCAUGUUGUUGCUUAUACUUUUUCUUUAUUCUAUCAGGUUUGAAUUCUCAGCUUUUUUAUUAUUGUUCAAAAUACACAGUGUUUAAAAUGCUAUUUCCCAACUUCAAUUUCAUUUUCUACUAACUCCACUCUUGGCAUUUCUGAACGUUUCUCAAGCCUUAGUUCAAAGACUUCUUCUUCCACAAUGCAGUCCUUGUAACUUUUUUUCUUCACUUCUGUUCUCAGCUGAAGGAUAGUCCUAGAUAUUCUAAAUAACCCUAAAAUAUGUAUGGCAUUUCUAAUAUUGUACUGUGUAUAUUCUGCUCAAAUAAGACCCUGUUUCAGAUAUUAGGAAGAAUGCUGAACCUUUUGCCUUACAUUUAGUUAAUGAUUGUAUAGUUAUUUGUAUUGCAUCUUUUCCCACUUACUGGACUCUAGGCACAGGAUUCAAAAAAUGGCGUCAUUAAAAGCAAGGCAUACCUUACACUACACCAAAGAAUAUGGACAAACUGUAAUGCUAGCAUUCUCCCACAAAUUGUUAAAUUCCAUAUAAAUGAAUCUCAGUCUAGUCAACAUUUCCUUGUGGACUUUCUCCCAGCUUUUCUUUCCCAUUAUUGGACCAAAGACAGCCUACAUGGCCUUUGUAAGUAUUUUGAUCAUUUCACCCAGAUAGGAAGGACUCCCCUAAAUUUGGUUCGUAUAUCAUGACUAAUGGUGCUGUACACCAAACAACAGAAUAUAAAGGUAUUUAUCAUUCACAUAAUCAGACUUUUUGGAGGGAGCAAGGUUCCAAGCAGAUCAGAAAAUGGCUUGAGAGAGAAGGGAAAGGACAGUGGCUUUGUGGCUGUAUGGUAAUCAGGAUAUCGGACUGGGAUGAUGAUCCCUGCACACCUGCUGGAGCUUGCAGAUUUGAACUUCCUGCCUGUAUCAGAGUAGGGGUCACCCAGAUUUUAUCAGUUUGGCCUGAUUGGGGAAAGAAGUGGAAAUAAAUAGAAGUGUUGGGGCUUGAAACCUAUGAUCAAAUAUCGAAAAUGGAGUUAGAUUCUAUUGCAGUAAACUUCUUGGUUUUACAUCAUAAGAUUCAAAUAAUAAUUCAGAAUAUAGUUUGUAGAUAUGGUGGGCAGUUAAUACAUUCAGGAUUUUAUUUUCAUGAGUUAGUACAGAUAGGUCCUUUGUUUUUGGCUAAAGGCAUAAGAAUGGAUUUUUUUGGUUUGUUUGAGUAAUUCUUUGUGUGCACCAGGUUCUGAUAAAAAAUGGAGUAACAAAGGAUUGUCAAAGUUCUUUGCCACCUCCUUCCCAUUCCCAAACUCAGUGAUAGUUUUUUGUUGGUGGUGAUGGUGGUGGUAUUGUUCAUUUUUUAUUUUGUUUGUUUUGAAUCACUGGUGUCAGGUAAAUGUUUAACAACCACAUUCUUCUCCCAAAAAAAGGCAUAAAUUGAACUCGAUUUGUAUCAUAAGCUUAUUUACAUGGUGUAAUAUUGUUACCAAGGUCUAUUUCAAGUGAUCCACAAGAUCCCACCGCUCUUUGAAAUCUUUAGGGAUUAAUGUCAUCAGAUAUGAAGUAGUUGACAAAUAUUUUCUGAGAUUUAGCGUUUAAGCAGUAUUUAUCUUCAGUGCCCACAUACCUAAGGCUAAGUCAGAGCUGGGAGACAACGAUGGUUCUCCUUCUGAGGGCUUCAGGAAACUACCGGCAGGCAACAGCUGUGCUGUGCUGUGCUUAACAGCAUUCUUCUCAGGCAGAAGCCACAUGGAAAGCCAUCAGGAGGAUAGUGAAGCAGAAAAACACGAUCUGGCUUCCUCCUGAGUACCAUAGAGAUAUGACCCUGCUGAUUCCCAGAAACGUGUGGGAUGGGCAGGCAGAUACUUUGAGGGCCUGUAUAAGCAGAUUAAGGCUAAGACAAUGUAUUUAUAGUAUCAAUUUUAAAUCCAAAGGUUGUUGAAGAGAUGUGUUAACAGGAAAAGCUAUUGGCAUUAGCAUUGAUUAAAAACAAUUGGAAAACAACUAUGAAAUGUAGAUAAAAAAUAAACUUUAGAUUGAAAAUACAAACAUAAU